GUGGGGAGAGACCAUGAGCCUUCCAGACAGUCUGGGACUCAGGACAGUUUUACCAGGUGCAGAUGCUGGACUUACGGACCUGCUGGAGGAAUGAAUGUCUGCUUGGUCAUGGCUCUGCUCAGGCUGCUGCCUGCCUUCUGGACUAGAGCUGCCUGCCCAUCCCAGGCCCACUGAGCACUGUGGGAGAGCCUCAGAGAAGCUCUGAUACCCCACGGCUUCAGCCGCACCCAGGCCAGCGGACCCCCUUCUUCACCCUGCACGUAAGUGUCCCUUGCACCCUUGUCCUGGGAAACUAGGGAAGCAGGAGUCUUGAGCUCCACUCGCGGUCUUGCCCUCAGCCUCUCAGGAGGCAGCCAGUUGGCAGAAUGGAUUCGGGAAGGUUCUUCUCCCAAGCUGCUGUAGUAGAGCAAAACCAUCACAGCGUCUCCGGUCCCAGGCUUUGGAGCCCCAGUCCCCCCCUGCCCCCUUUUUGCCUCUGGGCGGUGCCGAGGGGAGAGGGCGGAAUGUGAGUGUGAGCACCUGUGGUCUGGGGGCAGGAUGCUUUUCUGAGAGGGAGUGGGACUCAGGGCAGGCUCCUUCCUCCCCCCCCCCAGACUUGCCUGGGCCUGAGGCAGCUGGGGUAAGCCCACUCACCCUGUGGGUCCUGGAGCCCUCCUGCCUGAGGAAUAAACUAACCUCUCUAGGUCAGCCUCACAGUAGGCAUGGGCAACUCUGUAAGAACAGUCUGGCAGGUGGAACUACCCUCAGUUCAAGGGGGGGUGAUGGGGGGAGUGUGUCCGCCAUGAGUUUUUUCCCAGUGGCUGUCUGGGGGAACAAGGCCAGGAAUUUAUCAGUGCCCCUCCCCCAAAUAAACCUCCUAUUGCUGGUUUUUUGUUGUUUUUUUCACCUUCCAAGGUCAGGCACUUAGCACCUCAUUCCUUUCUCUCCCUCCUUCCA